rnacentral:tRNA from 1 species
GGAGAGGUGCGAGAGUGGUUGAAUCGGGCGGUCUCGAAAACCGUUAAGGCAGCAAUGCCUAUCGAGGGUUCGAAUCCCUCCCUCUCCU